CUGGCCGUGGCGACGCGGGCGACGGGAGGAGGGAGAUGGGGGCUUAAUUUCUAGAAUUUUGAAAGUGGAAGGACUAAAAUGCAAAAAAUCAAAUGUACUACCCGCGACAUGUUUUUCGGGACGGAGGGAGUAUAUAAUUUUGAUUUCUGGAAGUGAUACACUCAGGGAGCCAUGUUCCCCUGGAAAUAGUGCAAGUAUCUUAUCGUAAAAUGACCUGAUUAUGAUCAAGACUCUUUGGAAACCGGAAAUGCCUCAAGUUGGUUGCUUCGUGUGUUCACUUAUAUAGUAUUAUCUGCCUAGUCUGAGAGUUACAAUUUUCUCACACUCCCUUUGUUUGUAAUCGUAUAAUCUUACUGUCACUGUUAACUUUCUAGAUGCAGUAUGCUGACAGCUCAACUAGGUUUUCUUAUUUUGCCAAAAAAAAAGACAAACUGGGUUGUCUAAAUUACUCAUAAAGCAAACUAUAGACAACGAUGUCUCAAAGCUUUACAUAUCUCUUAUGCGACAUUUAUAUGUAGAUCAGUAUGGAGUUCAUGUAAAAUACUGAUGCUGGGUUUGUCCUUGUGUAGGAUAUGGUACACCAUCAUCGUCGAUGUAGGAUAUGGUACACCAAUUGAUGUGCACUGUAUUGGCUAGCUAAAUAGUUAAAUAGCUUAAUUUGUGGCUCCAAGGAAUUCAAUGUUGUUGUGAUUUUGCUAAGCUCUUGUAUGGAUCAUUUUGUACAACGAUUGCACUUGGUAUAUAAACGAUCCUCUUAUCUUACUUCCAUGUUGUAAUCUUAAGCUUUCAACCCUAAAAGUAGCUUUGAAGCACUGUUGUUUCCUUAGUGUUUGCAUUGACUUGUUUGAACCAUUUGCAUUGAGUUCCUGAUGCAAUUAUUAUUUCUGCUGCUUCUGAAAACAAGUAAAUGUAGUUUGCGUGGUUCUUUCUUAAUCAUGUGCAAUUGCAUUUCCUGGGAUUCCCUUUUGUCAUGCUCAGUGUUUUGCAGAUCCGUGUAUGCUUUAAAUUUCUUCCAACUAGUUAUAACUUGUGUGACAUCGAUUUUGUUGAUGUAUGAGUAGGGCCGUCCUGGAGUAAUGUGCAUGUGGGUCCGCAGCUCUCGUCGGCAUGACCUAGUGGUUGGCGUCUUAGUCUCUGGCGACGGUGGUGCGCCACCUUGCUUCCAGCAUUGAGGGGAUGGCAAGGUUGUUGCUCCUUAACCUUGUCAUGGCUCCAACGACUGCCUCUCUGGCUACCUAUACUUAGCGUUCCUGCACCCUUGGUCUAUCAUAGGAAGGUGGAAGGUCUGAAGCCAAAGGUGGAACAAGGAAUGUCAAAUGCAGUAGAUGCAAACAAAUUGACUGGCAAAAGCUGUAGCAGGAUGGCACCACCUAAAUACCAGGAAUUGACGGUCCAGAAGGUGAAUACACAAGUGCCAAUCAAAAAGGUUCAGAGAUGAGAAAAUUCAGAGCUUAGAACAGAAGGGAUGCAGGGAGAGGAAGCGAGGGGUUCGUCGCGGCGGA